AGUUCUUCUGCCAAUUGUUGGAUUAAUUGUAUUGUUCUCCACAUCCUCUCAUGUACUUGAACCUGUAGGACAGUAACGUCGUAAGAUAAAUAUAAGAAAAAUCAGUCUAGAGAUAUUAGGUAUGUCUAAGCUUAGUACAAAAGUAUUCUCUUACUUUUCCUUUUGCAGCCAAUUGAAUGACAACCAGAUGACUUUUUGUGAGUUUCUUCCGUUGUUCAUGCCAUCUCCAUCAAUAAAAGAGGAGUUUGCUUUCGAGAAAAGAACCUACAGCUAAGCAAGUUGUUAUACGGACUGAUGAGUUCUGAACUUUUGUUUAACACCCCACCAACGGCUUGUUCUAUGUUGCAGUCAUACUGAGUUCACCAUAACCAUCAAACCAUGUCUUGCAAAUAACUAAUCAUAUAAAAGACCACCAAAAAAUGUCCUUUAGUAACUUCUAAAAAGAGAACAUGAAACGCAGUAAGGAGUUGAUGUCAAUUUAUUACCUCUGAGGCUUUGUUAUAUAUGAGAAUCGUAUGGUUUUUUAAAUCUGCACAUAUAUAAAAGAAAACAUUUAUUUUUAAGAUA